CACGUAGGGCGCGAGCGUUGUCCGGAAUUAUUGGGCGUAAAGAGCUCGUAGGCGGCCUGUUGCGUCCGCUGUGAAAGCCCGGGGCUUAACCCCGGGUCUGCAGUGGAUACGGGGCAGGCUAGAGGUAGGUAGGGGAGAAUGGAAUUCCCGGUGUAGCGGUGAAAUGCGCAGAUAUCGGGAGGAACACCGGUGGCGAAGGCGGUUCUCUGGGCCUUACCUGACGCUGAGGAGCGAAAGCAUGGGGAGCGAACAGG
rnacentral:rRNA from 1 species